CUACGGGGGGCAGCAGUGAGGAAUAUUGGUCAAUGGGCGCAAGCCUGAACCAGCCAUCCCGCGUGAAGGAAGACUGCCCUAUGGGUUGUAAACUUCUUUUAUGUACCAAGAAUGUGACCUACGUGUAGGUUUUUGACGGUAGUACAUGAAUAAGCAUCGGCUAACUCCGUGCCAGCAGCCGUCGGUAAUACGGAGGAUGCGAGCGUUAUCCGGAUUCAUUGGGUUUAAAGGGUGCGUAGGCGGUUUCUUAAGUCAGUGGUGAAAUCCUGCGGCUCAACCGUAGAACUGCCAUUGAAACUGAGGGACUUGAAUAUAGUUGAGGUAGGCGGAAUGAGUAGUGUAGCGGUGAAAUGCUUAGAUAUUACUCAGAACACCGAUUGCGAAGGCAGCUUACUAAACUAUUAUUGACGCUGAUGCACGAAAGCGUGGGGAGCGAACAGGAUUAGAUACCCGUGUAGUC
rnacentral:rRNA from 1 species